AUGCAACAUGAACAUGAACUGAUCACCGAGACUGCAUUGCGUAUGAAAGACAGUUUUAUUUACUAGCCCGACAGGCUAAUGCAGUAUAGAUUUAUGAUAGCCCAACCUCUAAAAUUGGUAGCCCUGGGCGUUGGGCGAUGGUAAUUGCACACCCCUGCCCGGGGCAGGGCGGGUCACAAUGGGAGAUCAAAGUUUUACAUGGGAAUACAUUGGAAAAAUCUUCUCCAGAACCACUGGGCCAAGAAAGAUGAAACUGAUGUAGAAACAUCUUCAGACAUCCAAACGGCUAGCUCAGAUGUGGAAGUGGAAUCGGACCCUUUUAGUCGGGAAUUCCAUGGGAAAUUCAUUUGACAGUGAUGAUGAUGAUGAGAUUAAUUCAGCUUGUUGUGAUCCUCCUGGACAUCCAAGUGUUUUCGACAUUGAUGAAGAUUUUAUCACUCUCUCUCUCUUGGAC